GCGCCCAUAGCUCAGUUGGUAGAGCAAUCGACUCUUAAUCGAUUUGUCCCAGGUUCGAGCCCUGGUGGGCGCA
rnacentral:tRNA from 1 species